rnacentral:rRNA from 1 species
CCUACGGGAGGCAGCAGUGAGGAAUAUUGGUCAAUGGACGAGAGUCUGAACCAGCCAAGUAGCGUGAAGGAUGACUGCCCUAUGGGUUGUAAACUUCUUUUAUAUGGGAAUAAAACGUUCCACGUGUGGGAUUUUGUAUGUACCAUAUGAAUAAGGAACGGCUAACUCCGUGCCAGCAGCCGCGGUAAUACGGAGGAUCCGAGCGUUAUCCGGAUUUAUUGGGUUUAAAGGGAGCGUAGGUGGAUUGUUAAGUCAGUUGUGAAAGUUUGCGGCUCAACCGUAAAAUUGCAGUUGAAACUGGCAGUCUUGAGUACAGUAGAGGUGGGCGGAAUUCGUGGUGUAGCGGUGAAAUGCUUAGAUAUCACGAAGAACUCCGAUUGCGAAGGCAGUUCACUGGACUGCAACUGACACUGAGGCUCGAAAGUGUGGGUAUCAAACAGGAUUAGAUACCCCAGUAGUC